CCUGUGGGAUCUCCUCUUUCCUGGGGGAUCCACUCUCAAUUCCCACUGGAUCCCCCAUUUCCAGGGGAUCUGGGCUUGUGGGAUCCCCCCUUUCCCAGGGGAUCCACUCUCAAUUCCCGCAGGAUCCCCCAGGAUCGAUCCCAGCAGGAUCCCCACUCCCAGGAUUCCUGGGAUCUCCGUUCCUGGGGUAGAUCGCAGCAGAUCCUGGGGGGAUCCCAGUGGAUCCAGCGGCAUUGCCACUCCUGGGAUCCCCUGGAUCCCUGGGAUCCCCAUCCCAGCAGGAUUCCCAGGAUCUCAGGGAUCCCCGCUCUCGUCAUCAGUCCCAGGAGAUCCCAGCAGAUCCCAAGUGGAUCCAGCAGGAUCCCCUGUCAGUCCCAUCAGCUCCCAGCCAAUACUGGGUGGAUCCCAUCAGAUCCCAGUGGAUCCAGCAGGAUUUCCAGGAUCCCCAUUCUUGCUGUAACAGUCCCAGAGGAUCCCAUCAGAUCCCAGCGGAUCCAGCAGGAUAUCCAGGAUCCCCGUUCUUGCUGUCAGCCCCAGUGGAUCCCAGCAGAUCCCAGUUAUUGCUGUCA
rnacentral:lncRNA from 1 species